GGAAUGCACAGUGUAUCCCAAAUAUUUACACGCUGAGGAGAAGAUAGCACAGUAAGUCUCUUGACACUAACAUACAGAUAGAUAUGAGAAUGUCAAGGAUGCUAAAGUGAUUGUAAGAAUUUGCAUUGACAAGAAAAGAUUGUGUUCAGGUCCUCACCUGCAUGAACCACCAGUGACAACAGCGUACCUCACACAAUGGACCAAGUGCUAUGCAGUUCACAUGAAUAGAAAUGUUGUUCAGCGUAUUAGCAUGGGAAGAAAGGCAGAAAGACUUGAAUAAAAUUAGUAUAUCUGUUUGUGUUUGAACCAGCUACAUAGUUCUAUACCUGUAUCUCAUGAUGAAAAAA
ensembl:lncRNA